rnacentral:rRNA from 1 species
CCUACGGGAGGCAGCAGUGGGGAAUAUUGCACAAUGGGGGAAACCCUGAUGCAGCGACGCCGCGUGAGUGAAGAAGUAUUUCGGUAUGUAAAGCUCUAUCAGCAGGGAAGAAAAAAGACGGUACCUUACUAAGAAGCCCCGGCUAACUACGUGCCAGCAGCCGCGGUAAUACGUAGGGGGCAAGCGUUAUCCGGAGUUACUGGGUGUAAAGGGAGCGUAGACGGCUGUGCAAGUCUGAAGUCAAAGCCCAGGGCUCAACCCUGGGACUGCGUUGGAAACUGUGGAGCUAGAGUGCUGGAGAGGUAAGUGGAAGUCCUAGUGUAGCGGUGAAAUGCGUAGAUAUUAGGAGGAACACCAGUGGUGAAGGCGGCUUACUGGACAGUAACUGACGUUGAGGCUCGAAAGCGUGGGGAGCGAACAGGAUUAGAUACCCGUGUAGUC